UUGUAACAGUCGAAGAUGCUGACUGAUGUGUUGAAUGCAUUUCUCCGAAUUAGCGAUUCCUUGCAGAAGAGUUCAAAUGUUCCAAACUUCGCUAAACUCUGCCCUCUUGUUCCGCAAUCGAAAGCGAAAAAAAAUCGAAUACUUCGCUCGCAAGGUGUGCAGGUAAGCAUGAGUGUCACCAACCUUCACGUUUGUCGGUUUUUUAAUACAUGGCAUGUCGGGCGCAAAUAAGUUUGACAUUCCACCGACAUCCCGCAAUGAAUCAUCACUGCGACGAUGACGACGACGACGGCAAUGGUCUCGAUCGUGAAGAUGAAAUGGAUGGAUAAAGAAUACUGCAGAAGGUUCCACGGCGAGUGUUUUGAUGGCGACGGUUGAAACGGGCAGAUGGGCCAGGAUGGGGUCGGUGCGACACAUACCCACCAAAACAUAACAACAACAACAACAACAAUCCUGCACGAACAGGGCUGUAAGACGCGAAAGAUUGAAACCCACCCAGCGAGCAUAGGGAUAGCACCAGAAAUAGUUUCUUUUCCUGUAUCCUGACACAAUUACAAGGCAUCGAAACGAUACGGGUUGGGUUGGAGAAUAAUUUAUGGAGGUCAACGUGUAUUUUUCGCCACAAUGCUUCAACACGCUCAGUUUGGAAAAUGAACAUUAGCCACAAAAUUGCAUAAAUUGAACAAUAUUGAAAGAGAUUAAAAUGGAAAUACAAUACUAACUUUUAAAAAGAUGGUCCAAAACCUCUUCUACAAAACAAACGUCAAAACAUUCUUGAAGUACAGUUUGUGGCCACUGCUAAUGAUACAUUUGUCUGCCAGUGAACUCACACCAGUUUGUCAGUUCGUUGUCCGUUGACUAGAGCUUCAUUUCCGCAGGUUCCUACGAACCGUGAGCAGGCCAAUCUAAAGAGCGGGACACACCAAUCACCAUUAGCAAGGAAAUCAUGACGGGCACGAGGGGGAGGAGAGCGGGAAUCACUGGGUGGUAAAUAAAGGGAGCUCUCCUGCAGUGGGGUCGAGCCGCCGCAAGAGCACCUAAGAGCAGAAGCAUUUUUGAUGUCUAGAAAUAGCAGCGAAUAGCGUUGCGCUAUUCAAGAUACAACCUCUUCCCCCCUGCUGGCCAAUUUCGAUUUCGAAGAUGAGUCAUCGCCCGUUGGCCGUACGCCAGGGGUAGUGUGUCUCGAACAUCGCAGAAAGAGCACACGCCACGAGCGGGCGGGUUUGUAUGUGGUGGGAAUGAAACCGGGAAAGAGUUUCGUGCACGAGUUCGCGUGCACUUUACUACCGCACGAUCUUGAUCCUAACCGCAAAAUGGGAAAAAGAAAAAGAACGACCAGUAAAGAUGCUAUGUGUGUUUCUGUGCGUGUGUGUGGACGUAUGAAGCGAGAUGAAAAUAAUCCGUAUCCGCGUAGCCACCGCCCGCUCUGUCCACGGAUUCACAUUACUGGGGACGAUCCCAGGGAAUGGAAGAGAAAGCUACGAGACGAAUGGGUUGCUGCGUGUGAUGGGUCUUUCGGAUCCCAGUCGAGCCGUGCCGUCUGUGGUGAACAGAUGGAGCGCUGGCUGUCUGAGGCAACUGGUCUCCGCGCUGCUUGCUGCGGCACGAUCGUGAAUUAAUCGAAAGGAAUGAUGCAGGCGGUGGGUCCUUCUUGCGGGACUAUUUUUAAACUCUAAUCCAUCUUUUCCGCACUAUCCACAAAGCAAGGACGCCAACACACACACACACAGACACUCUGACAUGGGAAGAGGGAAGAGUGUAGAUCAGAUUGGAUGGACGGGUCAUUGCGGGUGUAUUUCUAGGGGACGUUACACUAAUUGAUGCGGUAACCGGCCCACUAACAAGUUUUCCGAAUCGGAAAGGUUAGUAGCCGCGCACUGAGUAGCCUCAAACACAGAGACAAGCGGGAAUGAAUCAGAAAGCUGAUCCGUUUUACUGUUUCGCACAUAAAUCACGCUGAUUUACGCUCGAUUUGCUAAUGAUGAAACGAAGUGUAGCAAUAAAGAGGAUUUAUUUUCAGCUGUCUGCGCUCGCGCACUGUACGUCUGCCUUUGGCACCGCAGCACGACCAUUCGGACUGUUGGAAUCAUCUCGCUCGAACUGUGAGCGCCGUGUAUCGACGAGCUUCUAUUCGGGCAACACACUUUGACCUCCAGUGCGGCCACCUUCCCGCCAUCUCUUCAACUUUCGACCGACGAUUCGGUACGGUCUGUUUAUGCUACGAACCUUCCGCCCACCUUUCCUCUCAAGUGGUGAAAUUGCCUCACGAUCUACGCAUUUCAACACAGGCUCAGUACGGCAUGACUCAUGGUUUUGGUUGUUGCCGGUUUCGGAGGGAGAAUCCGCGUGAGAUUUGUGGCCCUCUGUGUAUUUAUUGAAAACUGAAAGAUAAAGCGAGUACACUAAAUAUUCAUGCUACUUCGUAGCAGCUCUUUCUGUUCGUCCAGUUCGCUGUAAAAAUUAUUCCGAUUUGUGAUUUGUGUGAGCAACAGCGGGUAGGAACACUUUCAAUCUAAAGGAAU